GGGCGCGUAGCUCAGCGGGAGAGCACUACGUUGACAUCGUAGGGGUCGCUGGUUCAAUCCCAGUCGCGCCCACCA
rnacentral:tRNA from 1 species